ensembl:miRNA
UUGAGGCUGCAGUGAGCUGUGAUCAUACCACUGCACUCCAGCCUGGGUGACAGAGCAAGACUCUGUCUC